UACGGGGGGGGCAAGCGUUGUUCGGAAUUACUGGGCGUAAAGGGCUCGUAGGCGGCCAACUAAGUCAGACGUGAAAUCCCUCGGCUUAACCGGGGAACUGCAUCUGAUACUGGAUGGCUUGAGUUCGGGAGAGGGAUGUGGAAUUCCAGGUGUAGCGGUGAAAUGCGUAGAUAUCUGGAGGAACACCGGUGGCGAAGGCGGCAUCCUGGACCGACACUGACGCUGAUGAGCGAAAGCCAGGGGAGCAAACGGGG
rnacentral:rRNA from 1 species